rnacentral:tRNA from 1 species
UGGGGCUGUAGCUCAGUUGGGAGAGCACCUCCUUUGCACGGAGGGGGUCAGGAGUUCGAGUCUCCUCAGCUCCAG